GGAGACGUAUCGAAGUGGUCGUAACGAGCUUGACUCGAAAUCAAGUUGUCCACCCGGGCACGUGGGUUCGAAUCCCACCGUCUCCGCUA
rnacentral:tRNA from 1 species